GAGGUGGACAGCGGCUCCGGAGCGGUUUGUGCUUUUCUGGCGUCUGACCUGCAGCUCUGAACAUGUGCAGAGUGUUUUUCCAAGGUUUUGUGGGAAGGCGGAUGUUGUCUUCAAUCCUCCCCAUGUGGUCAGUCCAUCAAAAGAGUUGGGGAGCAGAGGUCAAGAUUGACAGAUUUCCUCCUGUGAUUGUCCAGUAAAGGCAGAACAAG